UACGGAGGGGGGCUAGCGUUGUUCGGAAUUACUGGGCGUAAAGCGUACGUAGGCGGCUUUGUAAGUUAGAGGUGAAAGCCCGGGGCUCAACCCCGGAAUUGCCUUUAAGACUGCAUCGCUUGAACGUCGGAGAGGUGAGUGGAAUUCCGAGUGUAGAGGUGAAAUUCGUAGAUAUUCGGAAGAACACCAGUGGCGAAGGCGGCUCACUGGACGACUGUUGACGCUGAGGUACGAAGCGUGGGGAGCAAACAGG
rnacentral:rRNA from 1 species